UACGGAGGGUGCAAGCAUUAAUCGGAUUUAUUGGGCGUAAAGGGCGCGUAGGCGGGAUGAAAAGUCAGAUGUGAAAUCCUGGGGCUCAACCUCAGAACUGCAUUUGAAACUGACAUUCUAGAGGGUAGGAGGAGAAAACGGAAUUCCACAAGUAGCGGUGAAAUGCGUAGAUAUGUGGAAGAACACCGGUGGCGAAGGCGGUUUUCUAUCUUACACCUGACGCUGAUGCGCGAAAGCAAGGGGAUCAAACAGG
rnacentral:rRNA from 1 species